rnacentral:tRNA from 1 species
GCCUGGCUGACUCAGUUGGUAGAGCAUGUGACUCUUAAUCUCAGAGUUGUGGGUUCAAGCCCCAUGUUGGGUG